ACCACGUCUGGCUAAUUUUGUUUUUGUAUUUUUAGUAGAGACGGGGUUUCACCAUGUUAGCCAGGAUGGUCUCGAUCUCCUGACCUAGUAAUCCGCCCGCCUCGGCCUCCCAAAGUGCUGGGAUUAUAGGCGUGAGCCACCGCGCUGGGCCAACAAACUUUUCUAUAUAAAGUACAAUUCUCUCUAGCACAGGGAAUAGAAUUAGAGUGCCAUGUUGAAUCCAUUUUAAGAAUGUUAUAAGAGGCUAUGAAAUUAGAAGAAAGCUAAACUCUAAAUAGUCUUUGAAGAAUAUUUUAGGUUAAUAAACAAAUUGGAUAGAGUAAAUUUUCCAUACAGGAAGACUGUCCUGUUUAAAAGGUGCGAUUAAAAAAUACAAAAUUUUUUGAGUGAAGAGGGCUAAUGGGUAGCACUGUCUAGAUGAAGAGUUUGUAUUGGUCAGUCACAAAGCUAGUCUCUACUAGAAAUAAACUUCUAUCAAAGAUCCUUUAAAAAGGCCAGGUGUGGUGGCUUAUGUCUGUAAUCCCAGCGCUUUGGGAGACCAAGGCGGGAGGAUUGCUUUAGUCCAGGAGUUCAACAACAGAGUAGGCAACAUGAGGAAACCCCAUUUACACAAAAAAAUACCCAGGUGUGGUAGGUUUUACUUGUAGUCCCAGCUACUUGGGAGGCUAAGGUGGGAGCCUGGGCGACAGAGUAAGACCCUGUCUCAAAAACAAACAAUCCCAAAAGGAAAGAUUUUUUAAUAAUUUAUUGUACUGUAGAAACCAAGGGAGAACUUUCCUCUUGGCCCUCUGAAGAUUCUGAUUCUCUGAAAAUGAAAUUGAAAAAGACAGAUUAAUAAGAGAAAAGGCACAUAAAUUUAUUUAAUGUGUAUACAUGAAAGCCUUCAGGAUGAAGACCCAAAGAUACAGGGAAAAUUGCCCACUUUUAUAAUUAUAUUCAACAAAGUAUGGACAGUUGUGUUGAAAUAUGACUGGACAAAAAGAGUAUGAUUUAAUGUUAAUAGACUAAUAAAUUGAGUCUGUUUAGAUUCUUUUCAGCUUCUCUGAGCAUGCAUUACUUUCAUAUAUGGGGAAGAACCCUCUCUGGACUGAGGGUUUUAUGACCGGCAGUCAAACAGGAGUAAACAGAAGAAACCAGCUCUGGAAACAAGUAACAGAUGACUCAUUCCUUCGUUGCCUUGAGCCAAUCAUCUGGGGCCACAACUGGACUCCUCCUCUGGUUUGUUGUCCAGACAUAGCAGCUGACCAACAUUCCUUCCUGAUAACAGACCAUCAACCUGGGAGUGGUUCUGGCCAGUCUAUGGAGGAUGCGCAGUAAGGGUUUUCAUGUCCUUUGUUCCACCUUUUGAUAUUAGAGACUCCAACCUCGAAUCAUGCUAACACCACCAUUUUUUGAACAUGCCACCCAUGAAGGGGCAUGAAGCUCCAUUGUGCAUACACAUGUUUCGCCUUUAGUAAAUUUUCAUGACUCCUAUGGCUUAUUAAAUACAUACCUUCAGCCACCUACCCUGCUUGUCUAAGCAUAAAUUUCUGUUUCCUUCAACCAUUCCUUAAGUGCUUGCUUUCAACAGCGCCAAAGGCUAUGUACGCCUCCCAGCCUGUCAGAGUGGCCACCUUACAGACUUCAAUGCUUUAUGAAAAAUAAUGCUCUCCUUUCCAAAUUUAUGAACCUUGCAAUUCUUCAAUUGACAAAAGGUUAGUAGAAGUAGAGAAGAGGAAGAAAAGCAUGGAGCAAAGGUGCUCUUUUUAUGCAGAUGAAAUUUCACAGGUAGCCGCUUUCAGAAAGAAACCCUAUCCUGUGGCAAACGUUUCUCUGUCAGAACUUUAAAGAUGUCAAACCCUCUUUUAGUCUUUCCUAGAUUUGGACAAGAGGGGAGAGCCUCAGAGAAAGCCUGGCUGUUUAUUUAUUUAUUUUAUUUUAUUUUAUUUUUUUGACAGAGUCUCGCUCUGUCACCCAGGCUGGAGUGC
rnacentral:lncRNA from 1 species